rnacentral:lncRNA from 1 species
AGUUCUAAAGUCAUUCCAAAGCAUAAACCAGCAAACAGUGCAGAGAAAGCAACAAGUAAAAGCUGAAGUUGAUGCUAAUUAGCUUAGCACAUGUCGAUCACUACCAUGUUCUGAUCAUCGAUCUCUUGGGAAUUGAAAGGGAGAGCUAUCAAGCAUAAGGAUGGAAUUAGAGCUUACUAUAUGCCUUGCCACCAACAGAAAAACCAGGAAUGAGAGCCCCAUCACUACCGUUUGCCAAGCCCACUGCUCAAAACAAGAAGAGAGAAAAAGAUCAGCUGGUAAGACACCUUAAUCUUAGCAAAGCAUCUUCACCCAUUCUUCUAACACCUUGUUCUUACCUCUGUCCUGUUCUCAAGAACAGACUGCAUCACUGGAAUGAUCCCCAUCUUGGUGGUGAAGUGAACUAUGCCAAGCAGUCCUUUAAGCUGCUGAAGUGAUACGAUGAUCGCUGCACCUCCCAUGAAUCCGGUCAACGUCGGUUUCGAUAGAAAGUCCACUAUGAAACCCAAC